UACGAAGGGGGCUAGCGUUGCUCGGAAUCACUGGGCGUAAAGGGUGCGUAGGCGGGUCUUUAAGUCAGGGGUGAAAUCCUGGAGCUCAACUCCAGAACUGCCUUUGAUACUGAGGAUCUUGAGUUCGGGAGAGGUGAGUGGAACUGCGAGUGUAGAGGUGAAAUUCGUAGAUAUUCGCAAGAACACCAGUGGCGAAGGCGGCUCACUGACCGCAGACUG
rnacentral:rRNA from 1 species